rnacentral:rRNA from 1 species
UGGGGAAUAUUGCACAAUGGGCGCAAGCCUGAUGCAGCCAUGCCGCGUGUGUGAAGAAGGCCUUCGGGUUGUAAAGCACUUUCAGCGGGGAGGAAGGCGUUAAGGUUAAUAACCUUGGCGAUUGACGUUACCCGCAGAAGAAGCACCGGCUAACUCCGUGCCAGCAGCCGCGGUAAUACGGAGGGUGCAAGCGUUAAUCGGAAUUACUGGGCGUAAAGCGCACGCAGGCGGUCUGUCAAGUCGGAUGUGAAAUCCCCGGGCUCAACCUGGGAACUGCAUUCGAAACUGGCAGGCUAGAGUCGUGUAGAGGGGGGUAGAAUUCCAGGUGGAGCGGUGAAAUGCGUAGAGAUCUGGAGGAAUACCGGUGGCGAAGGCGGCCCCCUGGACAAAGACUGACGCUCAGGUGCGAAAGCGUGGGGAGCAAACAGG